UUCGCCGUAGGCCAGGUAUUCCAGGGCCCGGGCCUCGGCCGCGGGGCAGUCCGCGUCGCGGGCGGCCGCCAGGGCGCGGGCCCCGGCGGCGCGG
rnacentral:tRNA from 1 species